AGAGGGAUAGCUGGGUCAAAUGGUGGUUCCAUUCCAAGUUAAGGAAUUUCCAUACUGCUUUCCAUAUUGGCUGCACCAAUUUGCAGUCCUACCAGCAAU
rnacentral:pre_miRNA from 1 species